UCAGGAGGUUCUGGGUUCGAAUCCCAGUCCGAGCGUUAUUUAAUUUUACACAAUUUUUUAAAUAUGGUUUUAAUACAAUCAUUUUACCGCCUUAUUACCGUAAAUAUGCCGCAUUUUCAGCGUAAAUAUUCUAAAUUUUUAGCGUAAAUGUAUGGCAUUUUUACGGUAAAUGUUCCGUAAUUUUUCGAUAAAAAAACUGACCAAAACAACCGAAAAAAUGCUGAAAAAAUACCGCAUUAAUACUAUAUAAUUGCGACAUUUUUUCAGCAUUUACAAAACCGCUAGGGAAACUAAGCGUGAUUUUCAUGUACUUCGAUCCGCUGAAUAUGAAUCGAAACUUUAUUGAGACCACGAGCCGUUUUAAAUGUAAAAAAAUCACACAAACCCUCGAAAAUUCCGAAAAAAGGCACUUCCACGUGGUGACGGUGGGCAACAGAACCAUCUGGCAGAGUCCCUGGGUUAACGGCGUGUGUGCCGUCAUGGCAGGUACAAGUGAUGAGUACUUUACGGUGCAGGGAGUCGGAGCCCCAGUAUCAGCGUCUGGUCAGGGUGAGAAAGCAGGCUCGCAGGUGUCAUCAUCAAGCGACUGCAGCUCUUCAGAGUGGGAAACUUGGCUACUGGAGAGUAAGAAUUCAAUUUGGAAAGGAAUCGAAGAUCGUUAUCUGAUAAGAUCAAACAAAUUUAUGAAGAAUGUUUUGGUCUCCAAAUUACUAAUUUGGAUUCAGCAUGGGUCCACAUACGAUUUAGUUACAAUUGGAUCUCUGUGGUGCUUAAUUUAUUUAUCUAUAGCUCAAGGUGAAGCAAAACGGGCAACUGGCCAAUGCCAACAAUUCAACAAUUUAGAUCUAAGAUCUAGUCAGUCGAGAGUGUUUUAACAAUCUUGGAUCUCAGUUCUGCUGUGAGAGUUCAGUUGAGUUGUUAUUUAGAUAAGGAUAAUAUAAAAGUUUGAUGACAAUGAAGACCAUCUGGGUAAUUGGUGGACCUGGCUGUGGAAAAGGGACUCAAUGCAGCAAAAUUAUUGAUAAAUUUGGACUUCUGCAUCUUAGCAGCGGGGAUUUGUUACGAGAAGAAGUUGCCAGUGGAAGUCCUCGAGGUGCGUCGCUACAGGAAUUAAUGUCUAAAGGACUUUUUGUGCCUACGGAUGUGGUGCUGUCAUUGAUUAAAGAGCGGAUGGAUAAAGCGAGGGGAGAUGGAAAUAUUAAGGGAUUUCUUAUUGAUGGAUAUCCUAGGGAAUUGGAACAAGGGAUACAGUUU